AGUGAACGCUGGCGGUAGGCCUAACACAUGCAAGUCGAACGGCAGCACAGUAAGAGCUUGCUCUUACGGGUGGCGAGUGGCGGACGGGUGAGGAGUACAUCGGAAUCUACUUUUUCGUGGGGGAUAACGGAGGGAAACUUACGCUAAUACAGCAUACGACCUACGGGUGAAAGCAGGGGAGCUUCGGACCUUGCGCGAUUGAAUGAGCCGAUGUCGGAUUAGCUAGUUGGCGGGGUAAGGGCACACCAAGGCGACGAUCCGUAGCUGACCUGAGAGGAUGAUCGGCCACACUGGAACUGAGACACGGUCCAGACUCCUACGGGAGGCAGCAGUGGGGAAUAUUGGACAAUGGGCGCAAGCCUGACCCAGCCAUACCGCGUGAGUGAAGAAGGCCUUCGGGUUGUAAAGCCCUUUUGUUGGGAAAGAAAAGCAGCAGGUUAAUCCCCCGCUGUUCUGACGGUACCCAAAGAAUAAGCACCGGCUAACUUCGUG
rnacentral:rRNA from 1 species